rnacentral:rRNA from 1 species
GAUGAACGCUGGCGGCGUGCCUAAUACAUGCAAGUCGAGCGAACAGACGAGGAGCUUGCUCCUCUGACGUUAGCGGCGGACGGGUGAGUAACACGUGGAUAACCUACCUAUAAGACUGGGAUAACUUCGGGAAACCGGAUCUAAUACCGGAUAAUAUAUUGAACCGCAUGGUUCAAUAGUGAAAGUCGGUUUUGCUGUCACUUAUAGAUGGAUCCGCGCCGCAUUAGCUAGUUGGUAAGGUAACGGCUUACCAAGGCUACGAUGCGUAGCCGACGUGAGAGGGUGAUCGGCCACACUGGAGCUGAGACACGGUCCAGACUCCUACGGGAGGCAGCAGUAGGGAAUCUGCCGCAAUAGGCGAAAGCCUGACGGAGCAACGCCGCGUGAGUGAUGAAGGUCUUCGGAUCGUAAAACUCUGUUAUUAGGGAAGAACAAAUGUGUAAGUAACUAUGCACGUCUUGACGGUACCUAAUCAGAAAGCCACGGCUAACUACGUG